UACAGAGGGGGCGAGCGUUGUUCGGAAUUACUGGGCGUAAAGGGCGCGUAGGCGGCCCGCUAAGUCGAACGUGAAAUCCCCAGGCUCAACCUGGGAACUGCGUCCGAUACUGGCAGGCUUGAAUCCGGGAGAGGGAUGUGGAAUUCCAGGUGUAGCGGUGAAAUGCGUAGAUAUCUGGAGGAACACCCGUAGCGAAGGCGGCACUCUGGGCCGGUACUGACGCUGAGGAGCGAAAGCGUGGGGAGCAAACAGG
rnacentral:rRNA from 1 species